GACCAGACUCCUACGGGAGGCAGCAGUGGGGAAUAUUGGGCAAUGGGCGCAAGCCUGACCCAGCAACGCCGCGUGAAGGAAGAAGGCUUUCGGGUUGUAAACUUCUUUUCUCAGGGACGAAGCAAGUGACGGUACCUGAGGAAUAAGCCACGGCUAACUACGUGCCAGCAGCCGCGGUAAUACGUAGGUGGCAAGCGUUAUCCGGAUUUACUGGGUGUAAAGAGUUGCGUAGGUGGCAUAAUAAGUAGCUAGUGAAAUCUGGUGGCUCAACCAUUCAGACUAUUAGCUAAACUGUUAAGCUCGAGACCGUUAGGGGUAACUGGAAUUUCUAGUGUAGGAGUGAAAUCCGUAGAUAUUAGAAGGAACACCAAUAGCGUAGGCAGGUUACUGGGACGGUUCUGACACUAAGGCACGAAAGCGUAGGGAGCAAACGGGAUUAGAUACCCCGGUAU
rnacentral:rRNA from 1 species